UACGGGGGGGGCAAGCGUUGUUCGGAAUUACUGGGCGUAAAGCGCGCGUAGGCGGCUGUGCAAGUCAGGUGUGAAAUCCCGGAGCUCAACUUCGGAACUGCCUUUGAUACAGCACGUCUUGAGUCCGAUAGAGGUGGGUGGAAUUCCUAGUGUAGAGGUGAAAUUCGUAGAUAUUAGGAAGAACACCGGUGGCGAAGGCGGCCCACUGGAGCGGUACUGACGCUGAGGUGCGAAAGCGUGGGGAGCAAACAGG
rnacentral:rRNA from 1 species